rnacentral:misc_RNA from 1 species
GGAAGUAAAGGUCGUAACAAGGUUUCCGUAGGUGAACCUGCGGAAGGAUCAUUCAUAAUAAAGUGUUUUAUGGCACUUUUUAAAAAUCCAUAUCCACCUUGUGUGCAAUGUUAGAUCUCGUCAAUCUUGGCGAGAUUUUUAUACAUCAACUCAUUCUUUAGCUAAUUUGUCUGAAAAAUAUUAUGAAUACUUAAUUCAAAAUACAACUUUCAACAACGGAUCUCUUGGCUCUC